rnacentral:sRNA from 1 species
UAAUAGAGGUGGUAUUUUUUGACUUCCAUUUGUGAAGUUUAAAUGAGAUUCGUUAUUGUUGCUUUUAUGUGAAUCCUUAGUACAUGGCCUGCUGCAAACACCCAGGACACCGAGGAAAUGGUCGUUGCUGUUUGAUUUUCCUCAUCCCCAGUCUCAAGGGGAAGCCAGGCCAAUGAGAAGAGCCACUUGCCAUCAGGCUGUCCCUUUAGGAGUCACUGAAAGGGCCCCAGGGUGGGAUGGUGGGGAGGUAAGAACCACGAGAGAAGUUGGCACAAAGGAGUUAUGGGAAAAAGGGUCCAAGAUAGGCAGAAAAGAAGCUUUUGCCAGUUGAUGGAGGAAGAAAGGAAGUCAGAGGGCUUAGACAGUGAGGGGGGACAGAACAUCUCCAUGUGCACUCUCAUCUCUUGCAGUCAGCAACAGGUAUCUACGGGGAGGGCCGUGCAUCCUCUGCUACCCUGGAGGAUCUGGAGGUCAGAGGCCCUGGGCCGAGGUGCAGUGACCCUGCAGGCCAGCCCUCCAACCUCCUCCCACAGCAGGGGCUUGUUGCCCCUCUGCCAGCUGAGGCAGCCCACACACCCCCACCAGCCCUAAUGAUUAUUCUCUCUACCCCUCCCCACAAUCUUCCUCCAACUCCUUCUCUCUGCAUGCACCUCAGAGCCAGUACCAAGAACUAGCAGUGGCCCUGGAUUCAAGCUCCGCAAUAAUCAGUCAACUCACUGAAAACAUCAAUUCACUGGUAAGAGUCCAGUGGGGUCCCCUGAUUACAGCUGGUCAAUCCCGGACUCCAGUUUCCUCUUGGGGCCCUGAAGAAAGGGGCUAGGGGCCCCUGAUGCCAAGGGCAAAUGGGGAGCUGGGCACCCAGGUCUCGCCUGGAGGGACCCCAGAGCACAGAACAUGCAGCAUGGCUCUUCUGCACUGCCCUCUUUGCUGACUCUCUCUUCUCCAGACACCCCUGCUCUAGUCCUUGCCACACAUGCCCUGGGGUUGUCACCUUUCCGGGAAGCACUAGCCUGACUGGUUGUCAGGGGUCCAUAUUUCUGCUCUGCCUCAGUCCCUAAUUUGCUUUUUGAGUCUGGACAAGUCAUCUCUCCUCUUUAUGCUCGUGUUUCUGGAGGAGGCAGAGAGUAUCAAAGGUCUCGGUUAGCUCUGAAAGUCAGAGAUUUAAAGGCCCCUAGAAUGGAAACCUCAGGGCCAAGGGCUCCUGUCUGUCCUUUGCUGUUUUAUAUCUCUGCUAUGAAGAACUGUACCUGGCCUGUACAUGCUCAGUAAAUGUUUGUUGAAUGAAUGCACGUUUCUAAAUCACAAACUGGCAGAAGGGGGGUGGGCCUUUCUCAAACUCUGUCUCUAGAGGUUCACCAGCCCCUCCCUCCAGGGCCCUUUUCCCCCUUUGCUUUGGGCAGGUUCGCACAUCUAAGGAGGAGAAGAAGCAUGAGAUACAUCGGGUACAGAAGCUUGGGAGGAGCUUGUUCAAACUCAAAAACCAGACGGCUGAACCCCUGGCCCCAGAGCCCCCAGCAGGGCCAUCUAAGGUGGAGCAGCUACAAGAUGAGACCAACCACCUAAGGAAGGAGCUAGAGAGUGUGGGAAGACAGCUCCAGGCUGAGGUGGAAAACAAUCAGAUGUUGAGUCUCCUGAACAGGAGACAGGAGGAGAGGCUACGUGAACAGGAGGAGAGGCUGUGUGAACAGGAGGAGAGGCUGUGUGAACAGGAGGAGAGGCUGUGUGAACGGGAGAAGCUGCCAGGGCAGGAGAGGCUGCUGGAAGAGGUGGAGAAGCUGUUAGAACAGGAGAGGCGGCAGGAGGAGCAGGAGAGGCUGCUGGAGAGGGAGAGGCUGCUGGACGAGGUGGAGGAGCUCCUGGAGCAGGAGAGGCUUCGGCAAGAGGAUGAGAGGCUGUGGCAGCAGGAGACUCUGCAG